rnacentral:rRNA from 1 species
UACGUAGGUGACAAGCGUUAUCCGGAAUUACUGGGCGUAAAGCGCACGCAGGCGGCUGCGUAAGUCUGACGUGAAAUCUCUCGGCUUAACCGGGAGCGGUCGUUGGAAACUAUGCGGCUUGAGGCGAUGAGAGGGGUGUGGAAUUCCCGGUGUAGUGGUGGAAUGCGUAGAUAUCGGGAGGAACAUCAGUGGCGAAAGCGGCACCCUGGCAUUAGCCUGACGCUCAGGUGCGAAAGCGUGGGGAGCAAACAGG